CCAUUCCCUGGUGUGCCAGUUGUUGUCGUCAGACGCAUUGCUGGGUAGCCACAAUGGUAUUGGAUAAUCGCUGAAUGCAUCUAAGCGAGAAGCCAUUCCCAAGAUGAGAAAUCCAUGCCCCGUGAGGGGCGAAAGAACCCUAGUAGACUACUAGGUUGAUAGGCAGAGAGUGUAAGCAACGUAAGUUGUUUAGCUUAUCUGUACUAAUGUUCAAAGAGUAAAUCAA
rfam:Microgenomates (Collierbacteria) bacterium GW2011_GWB2_44_22 TW44_C0017, whole genome shotgun sequence.